rnacentral:lncRNA from 1 species
CCACGUAGUCGAACGAAUCCUCACAAUCGCAGUGAAAUAGGAACUAUCGAGAAGGAGCACAACCGGAAACAAACAAACAACAUGGUAAACAACCAUCACAUAAACAUGGCAUGAUGCACAAACAAGUAUGAUGCAUGUCCGGUUUAAAAGGGCAUGGCAUGGCACAGCAAAGUGCAACAAACAAUACUACAAAUUAAGUGGAGCUCAAUAUGCAACGAGUUGCAUAUUGACGAAACACCACAACAAUUAUUCAGUUCUCUGCCGUUUAAGUACUCAUCAAAAUUAAAUGUUGGUUAACAUGGCAAAAGGUGAAGCAUAAGUAAACUACACAUUUAGGCAAGUUUAAAUGAACGGAAAUAACAACCAUUCCAGAAAAGUCCCCAUAUGCAUUUAGCAAUUCAAUGCAAACACAAAUUUUUAACAUUUUCAAUGUUGUUAGCAUGAUGCGGAUGACAUACAAGUUUUAUGCAAUUUUUAUGAAAAUGUUGACAUGAGCAUAUUAUGAAGCAUUUGUCACCAUGGUGGAAAGAAAGUGUUCCACGACAACGAAUCCGAAAAUGAUGCCAUGACAACAUAUCAGUUCCGGUAACUCGAUUGAGAUACCGAUGCAAAAGAGAAGUGUGUGGAUGUGUGGAACACACAAGAGAUGGUGGGGUGCUCCCGGUUAACGGGGUCCCACGGGUCAAUGGCGGUGUCAAACGAGGGAACAACUAACGUUCACGAGCGCAUACAACAUUCAAACAUCCAUCUCAUACAACUCAUGGAUUCAUCCACACGUCUCUCAGGGUUAUACCUUUGUAGCGUGCAAACGGGACGGUUCCAGUUCGGUACAAAGUAGAGGAGGUUGAAGUUCUCGGGCGGUCGUAGUGGAAGUAGUGGUACACGACAUCGGUAAUGGAAGUAGUGAUACACGUUUUUGUAGAGGGACUUGACGAAUCCGAGACACUUCGGGUUGACGGUGGUCGUGCACGUUCAUAGUCGCACAAGUUUCCGUAGAUGAUCGGGGUCACGGCGAGGAACUUGAUGUCCACAGGGUCGAGGGUCAAGAAGGUAGUGGUACUAUUCGUCGGUCAUCGUGGUACUUGUGGUCUUCGGACUUGUCGGUCUCGUUCUUGCGACGGUAGUCGAACUUGACGUAUC